rnacentral:tRNA from 1 species
UGCCGUCUAGCUCAGUCGGUAGAGCGCAAGGCUCUUAACCUUGUGGUCCUGGGUUCAAGUCCCAGGGUGGUCG